rnacentral:ribozyme from 1 species
CCUCGCUGUUGGAUCGGUUGCGGUAUCGGAGGGAACAGUUGCCCAGGCUGGGCGGUUCGAAGAGGGAAGCGACAAUUGUGUUUGUGGAUAUAAGGAAUUAUUCUACGUUGGCGGAGCGUUUGGAUCCGGAGCAGACGCUGAAUGUGUUGAAUGAGUGUUUUUCUGCGUGGGUGAAAGACGUCCAA